CGAGAGUGUCACCACUCCCAACCCAUUGUUUACCUACCCGUCCACCGUGCUUCGGCAGGCAGCCCUGUGGGACAGAGCCUCGCCCCCCUCCGCGGGGGGUGCCUGCCGCUGGCCAACCAACAACUCUAGCUGUUUUAGUACCAUCUGAGUCUUCCACAAAUGAACA
rnacentral:misc_RNA from 2 species